AUCUUGCUGUAGAUCUCUGCAUUUCUGUGGCUUUCUGAAGUUUCUCAGAUGCCCUGAAGUGGUUCUGUAGGCUACUGUAUAUGAAUAUGAGAGAGAACAGGGGGCUUCCAGUAAUGCAUGGCAGGCUGCAGUAUCAGCAGAUGUCAUUGUUUGGCAACUGUUUUCACUCUAGAAUGCCAGAAGAUAUGGAAUGCUUGCUCCAUAUGAAGAAGAGGACCAUGAUCUGAAUAUUUUGAGAAGAAUUUUGUUUUGUCCUGCUGCUUUUAAUGUAAGUUUUAAUACCAAGAUCUUUUUUACUAUUAUUAAAGGGAAAAGAUCAACUGUCACUAUGGAAAAAUGAGUUAAUCCUGAAAUAGCAAAGUAGUUCAGACAGUUAAUAUACAAGCCUCAAAACUCCUAGCUAGUUGUAAUGCAGGGUUGGAGAAAAUGAAGUUUUUUCUUGGCAAAAACGUGUAAAAUAUUUUCCAAGUGACUUCAGCUCUGACUGUGAUCAUUUUCAGUUUGCUUAGUUUCCCAUUAGCUGCCCAGUAAUGUCUAUCCAAUAGAAUGUUGAGUGUUCUCAAAGUAUACCUGUUAUUGUUUCAUUUUAAAAUGUAGAGAAGAGGUGAAAAGAUGUUGCUCUUCCCACUUUAGCUAUCUCCUAGGGUAAUUGCUUUUAAUUUUUAAAUAAUUAUCUUUUCUGUUUCUUCCUUUACUUGAGUUCCCUUCUGGUCAGUGUCUUAAAUCUUUAUUUAAUUUUUUUUAUUCUCAAUUAUUUUUAAAUGAAUAACUGUAUCCAGAGGUGCAAUCACUGUGGGUAUCUGUUAGGUGGGGAAAAAACCCAACAGACUGAACUAUUGUUUUUUCAAACAAAUUUUAUUUUUAUUACUUAAAAACAAAACAAUACAAAAAGUCCAAACCCCAUACAAACUAAAUUUGAGUGUUCAACGAAGUUACAAUUUGCUUUGUGUUCAUUGCAGGAAAAUCUGCUAUGGUUUUCUCUCAUCCAACAUAUUUGAAGCUUGACUAGCAAAACUGCUGUCUUAAUACUCUGCUAUUGCCAUGGUCUGUAGUAAAUAGUGUUGCUUAAGGGUUGUGGAUUUGCCAGGUUCACAUAUAUAUAUAUAUUCUUCUUUACCUUCAUGACUGUAUCAAGAUCCACUUGUUUUAUUUCAUACCUGCAAAAAUUGUUGGUAUUUAGGUGUUGUUUUACUUGUUGAGAUUGCUCAAGAAUGGAACGUUUUUUGAUUUUAUCUGAAGAAAAAAUCAGAUCAUAAAUGUCUUCAAAUAUGUUGAGAAAAUUAAAUGUGAAAACGUUCUUAUUCUUCCAAAUUUUAUUUUGAAAGACAAUACCCUUUUCCAGCGCUGACCUCUGGUCUUCUGCACAGAAGCCUGAAUUUCUACAGAUCAGAAUGAUAGCUUUUUAAAAAAUAAUAAUGCAGCAAGGCAGAAGAGAAGUUGUACUGACUUUUCUUGCUGUCUUUGUAGACCUAGGAUUCUCAAUUUCCAUGGAUGUUUUGUUUUUCUUUAAAGUAGUUGUGUAAUUUAUUUAAAGCAUGAGCACCAGGUAUUUCUGUAUACGUCCAAAAGAGACUAGCUACUGAUCUGAGUGAAUGAAAAUUCAUUCCCUUUGACUAUCAGAACCACCUUUACUGUUACGGUUGUAGAAGACAGUAAUUAAAAUAUAUUUAAUAUAAGCCACCCUCAUUUUGAAGCUGCCUCAGUUUGCAGCCCUGAGGGAAGCCAAGUAAUUAAGUUUGGAGGCAGUACUGAAGCAAAGACAAAUAAUGAUUUGGACAGGACUAGCAUAAAGGAAGGCUUCCAUUAGAUUCUAGAAUGCUGUUUUUGACCCUUAGUGGAUAUACUGUUCCAAGUGCUUUUAAUUUCAUUAAAUUUAAUAUUGGAUAUUUUAAAUAGAAACAAUAUUAAACUGUGGUUAUUCUCCAGAAUGUCCAUUCUGUGCUACAAAAGUAAUGCCUUCCAACUCAAGAGCCUGAUUGGAAUUGGCAAUCAAAGUCUCUCCAAUAGCAACCUCCACCACCAUGCAUACACACCAAAACUUCUUGAAAGAGCAACAAUAAAGUCACUUUCGAUGGAAUUACAAACAGCAAUUGGCAUGAUCUGUGGAUGGAGUAGGUUGCUAGACAGAAGGAAUGUGAGCUGAGAAAGGUGAAGCUGACCUUGGAAAUUAAUGCUUCUGUGGACUAGGUAAAAUGAGCAGUUAUGUGAUUAAGUCCACAGGAAAUGGUAUUUAAGUACCCAUCUUUGAAGCUAAAAUUUGGGAUCUUGAUACUUGCAGGGACGGUAAGUACAUGAAGUGUCUGAAAAAUUCCUUUUUCCAAGAACUUGUGGCUAUGUUUGUCUCUUCACAAACCACUGAGAGUUUGAAUGAAGGAUUCCAGAAUGACUGUCUCAUUUCUGUUGAGUUCUGCAACUUAGGUCCAUUGUUUCCUAUAUGAUGCAAUAUCUGCUAGCUGUGUGUGUGUACAUAUAAUAUGUAUUUGUAGGCAUACAUUUAUUUCACUGACUGACAUAAAUUAAACUGAAGCUGCACUAGGAAUUUUAUGUUCUGUGAUAACACCAGCGGAGGUGUGUGAUUAUAUUUUUUUCCAAGACCAACAGUGUUGGUUACACUAAACAUCAGGAUGCCUGCAUUGUAGCAAUAUUUUCACCACUAUUUUGUUCAAGCUUCAAUUUGCAAUAUUCUGUUAGAAGAUGAGUUCUUUCAUACCACUGAAGUAAAACCAGUUAACGCGUUUGAUGUGAAGAGUCUAAGAGGAUCCUUAUCUUGUUGAAGAAAAACUUGUGCCAGGUCUUUUUUGCCAAAAAGAACAGAAAUAAACCCUGUGUUCCUGGGCAACAAGUCUUCUCAAUGAAAGAAUUUCUAUUGCUUAUGAAUUUAUGUGAGCUUUUGCUGAAAACAUUGUCUGCUGCAUUUUCCUGUACUCACUGUGCUGUCAGUAAGCUGCUGUGUUAUAAAGUGCUUUGGGACAUUCUGUCCAUAAAGAGGUACAAUACAGAACUAAAUUCUGUUUUAUUUGAUUCCCUGAAAUGGUGCAAUUCAUUUUUAGUAAAUACUGUUGCCAAAG
ensembl:lncRNA